UACAGAGGGGGCAAGCGUUGUUCGGAAUUACUGGGCGUAAAGGGCGCGUAGGCGGCCUGUUAAGUCGAACGUGAAAUCCCCGGGCUCAACCCGGGAACUGCGUCCGAUACUGGCAGGCUUGAAUCCGGGAGAGGGAUGCGGAAUUCCAGGUGUAGCGGUGAAAUGCGUAGAGAUGUGGAGGAACACCAGUGGCGAAGGCGGCUUUCUGGUCUGUAACUGACGCUGAGGUGCGAAAGCGUGGGGAGCAAACAGG
rnacentral:rRNA from 1 species